UACGGAGGGGGCUAGCGUUGUUCGGAAUUACUGGGCGGAAAGCGCACGUAGGCGGACAGUUAAGUCGGGGGUGGAAUCCCGGGGCUCAACCCCGGAACUGCCUUCGAUACUGGCUGUCUGGAGGUCGAGAGAGGUGAGUGGAAUUCCGAGUGUAGAGGUGAAAUUCGUAGAUAUUCGGAGGAACACCAGUGGCGAAGGCGGCUCACUGGCUCGAUACUGACGCUGAGGUGCGAAAGCGUGGGGAGUAAACAGG
rnacentral:rRNA from 1 species